AAAACGACUCUCGACAACGGAUAUCUUGGCUCUCGCAUCGAUGAAGAACGUAGCGAAAUGCGAUACUUGGUGUGAAUUGCAGAAUCCCGUGAACCAUCGAGUCUUUGAACGCAAGUUGCGUCCCGAGCCGUCAGGCCGAGGGCACGUCUGCCUGGGUGUCA
rnacentral:rRNA from 1 species